ACCCUCGAUGAGGUUGGGUCUCUGCGGCUGAGGGGUUCUGUCGGAACUCUCGGAAUCAUGUGGCACAUGCAUUUCCAGCUCCAUUUCUAGUUGAUUUACCGAUGACCCAGCUUCAAACCCAAUUACAAUGGAGUUCCAAAUGUGCGCUCAUCCACUUUAAAACAUUUAAGCACAUCUUGAGCCUAUUUGAAUAUCUCAUUUGACCUAGAUCAGUUAUUUAAAAUUUAAAAACUUCACAACUUCAAACAUUCUUCAUUAUGGCUAGUAAGUGUUAAAUCAUCAAAUGCAAUGGAAUGAACCUCCCUUUUCAAUCUUCACCUAAAACGAAUCCCAUCUUUUCAAAAUGCGAAUCAAUGCCAUAGUACUUUAUCCUCUUUUAUCUUUCUACAUCAAAUCAUUUGAUUGCUUCACUUACACUUCUUAAAGCUUUCUACGUAAGAAAGCCGACUUCACGUGAAGUUGAUAGAUAGCUCAUGAUUUCUAUGAUGCAAGUGAGAUUAUAAGUCUUAUAGUAUCUUUGACGUGCUAUUCAUAUUGAAGAGUCCCUCAUAGGUACAUUAUGAGUAGAUACAUGUACAUGAAGAUUCAUGCAUUCUUAGUUACAUGUAUUAGGUUCAUACAUGAAUAAUAAUGUUUAAUGAAGUACAUGAAUGACAUUGGGGAAUGUCCCAAGUUAUCUAUGUGUGUGUGUUGGCACACAAAGAAAGAUGAAGCACGUAAUUAUGAAUCCUUUCUAGUAAUACAAAGUUCUCCUCCCCGAAAAUUCUACGAAGCAUAUACAAUUCACUGGUUACGGUCCAAGAAGUCUCAACAGCCAAGUGGUUCGGACAUCCAUGUGCGAGCUAGUUAAGGUCGUGAGGUUGUGACAGGAACAGUUAGCCUCAAGGUACGUCGAGUCGAGGUAUUUUUACUAUGUUCUGUACUUACGAGGUAUCAACGACCCCAAAAAUGCUAAUGAAACAAAUCUUUAAGGUAUGGAUUAUCAUUUAGUUAUAUGUAUUGAACUUGGUUAUAGAGUUGCAGGCACAUUUGCUUCCUAUUCUAUU